AUGUGGCGCUGUCACCACUUACCAGCAUUUAAGGAGUAUAUCUUUUUGUUUCUUGCAAAAAAGUUAAGGAGUAUAUUUUUCUUUUUGAAAAAAUUUAAGGAGUACAUUUUUGGCCUUUAUGACCAUGAUUGCUGCAAGCUGGCAUGCUGUGUGGACCGUUCUUCAGUUAUAUACAUGUUCUGGGUCGUCUUACUAGGCAUGUACGUUGCGCAUUCUGGCAAAAGUUGUUUUGCUCGUGGAAAUACACCGUGCACCCCAAAAUACCUGAGAUUGUUUGUUUACAUGUACAAACAAAUUUCAAGAAACCAAGCCAUGUGA
rnacentral:rRNA from 1 species